rnacentral:rRNA from 1 species
GAUGGCCGGCGGCUUACCAUGCAGUCGAGCGGGGAGAUGUAGCUUGCUACAUUUUCUAGCGGCGGACGGGUGAGUAAUACUUAGGAAUCUGCCUAUUAGUGGGGGACAACAUUUCGAAAGGAAUGCUAAUACCGCAUACGCCCUACGGGGGAAAGCAGGGGCUCUUCGGACCUUGCGCUAAUAGAUGAGCCUAAGUCAGAUUAGCUAGUUGGUGGGGUAAAGGCCUACCAAGGCGACGAUCUGUAACGGGUCUGAGAGGAUGAUCCGUCACACUGGGACUGAGACACGGCCCAGACUCCUACGGGAGGCAGCAGUGGGGAAUAUUGGACAAUGGGGGGAACCCUGAUCCAGCCAUGCCGCGUGUGUGAAGAAGGCCUUUUGGUUGUAAAGCACUUUAAGCGAGGAGGAGGCUCUUCUAGUUAAUACCUAGGAUGAGUGGACGUUACUCGCAGAAUAAGCACCGGCUAACUCUGUGCCAGCAGCCGCGGUAAUACAGAGGGUGCAAGCGUUAAUCGGAUUUACUGGGCGUAAAGCGUGCGUAGGUGGUCUUUUAAGUCGGAUGUGAAAUCCCUGAGCUUAACUUAGGAAUUGCAUUCGAUACUGGGAGACUAGAGUAUGGGAGAGGAUGGUAGAAUUCCAGGUGUAGCGGUGAAAUGCGUAGAGAUCUGGAGGAAUACCGAUGGCGAAGGCAGCCAUCUGGCCUAAUACUGACACUGAGGUACGAAAGCAUGGGGAGCAAACAGGAUUAGAUACCCUGGUAGUCCAUGCCGUAAACGAUGUCUACUAGCCGUUGGGGUCUUUGAGACUUUAGUGGCGCAGCUAACGCGAUAAGUAGACCGCCUGGGGAGUACGGUCGCAAGACUAAAACUCAAAUGAAUUGACGGGGGCCCGCACAAGCGGUGGAGCAUGUGGUUUAAUUCGAUGCAACGCGAAGAAUCUUACCUGGUCUUGACAUAGUAAGAACAUUCCAGAGAUGGAUUGGUUGCCUUCGGGAGCUUACAUACAGGUGCUGCAUGGCUGUCGUCAGCUCGUGUCGUG